UACAGAGGGUGCAAGCGUUGUUCGGAAUUAUUGGGCGUAAAGGGCGCGUAGGCGGUGCGGUAAGUCUGUAGUGAAAUCUCUGGGCUCAACUCAGAGUCUGCUAUAGAAACUGCCGUGCUUGAGUGUGGGAGAGGUGAGUGGAAUUCCGGGUGUAGCGGUGGAAUGCGUAGAGAUCCGGAAGAACACCGGUGGCGAAGGCGGCCUGCUGGGCAGUUGCUGACACUGAGGCGCGACAGCGUGGGGAGCAAACAGG
rnacentral:rRNA from 1 species